rfam:Cavia porcellus supercont2_2 genomic scaffold, whole genome shotgun sequence.
GGAUGUGAGGGCGAUCUGUCACCUCAUUGAUUGCCAGGGUUGAUUCGGCUGAUAUGGCUGGCUAGGCGGGUGUCCCCUUCCUCCCUCAACGAUCCAUGUGCGUCCCUCCCGAAGCUGCGUGCUCGCGCUCGGUGGAAGAGGACGACCACCCCGAUAGAGGAGGACCGUUCCUCAGUCAAGGGUAUAGGAGUAGCUGUGCUCCCCUGCUAGAACCUCCAAACAAGCUCUCAAGAAAGAAUGAGAAACUGAGAACAGAGGCAGGGAAAAGUCACUAAUAGACAGUGGGCUCAUCUUAGUUCCUGGUCAUCUCAGCUUCUCUUUCUUU